rnacentral:rRNA from 1 species
CCUACGGGUGGCAGCAGUGGGGAAUAUUGGGCAAUGGAGGAAACUCUGACCCAGCAACGCCGCGUGAAUGAUGAAGGUCUUCGGAUUGUAAAGUUCUUUUCUAAGGGAAGAAGAAAGUGACGGUACCUUAGGAAUAAGCCUCGGCUAACUACGUGCCAGCAGCCGCGGUAAUACGUAGGAGGCAAGCGUUAUCCGGAAUGACUGGGCGUAAAGGGUGCGUAGGUGGUUUGAUAAGUUGGUAGCGUAACUCCGAGGCUCAACCUCGGCACUACUACCAAAACUGUCGGACUUGAGUGCAGGAGGGGCAACUGGAAUUCCUAGUGUAGCGGUGGAAUGCGUAGAUAUCACGAAGAACCCCGAUUGCGAAGGCAGCUUACUAAACUGUGACUGACAUUGAUGCUCGAAAGUGUGGGUAUCAAACAGGAUUAGAUACCCUAGUAGUC